UACGAAGGGGCUAGCGUUGCUCGGAAUCACUGGGCGUAAAGGGUGCGUAGGCGGGUCUUUAAGUCAGGGGUGAAAUCCUGGAGCUCAACUCCAGAACUGCCUUGAUACUGAAGAUCUUGAGUGCGGGAGAGGUGAGUGGAACUGCGAGUGUAGAGGUGAAAUUCGUAGAUAUUCGCAAGAACACCAGUGGCGAAGGCGGACUCACUGGCCCGAUACUGACGCUGAGGCACGAAAGCGUGGG
rnacentral:rRNA from 1 species